ACCGUGCCGGAGCGAGCAGCGUCUGGCAAUGUACGGUUUCAAACGUAAAUCCAACGCCAAGCCAGAAACUCGUGUAUUGAGCGGCACUCCGUAACUUGGUCUAUAAACGGUUGGACGGUCGGCCGGUUUGGUGCCCAACAGUGCUAAGCUAAGAGUGUCCAAGUAUCCAUCGGUUUCGUGUUCUGUAGAACACCGAGCUACAACACAACACAGCACUCGCUCGAUCCGUUUGCUAGAUCGUCGAAAGAUCGCGCGCGAGAGGUCGUGGAGAGUGGAUUUUCAGCAUUUUUCUUUCGUUGGCUUUCUUCGUCGUGGGGCGGGCGGGCACUUCUUUGGGGGAAAUUAGAGACCUCGCUGGAGUUUGUAGUAGUACGCGCAUUCCGCGGCCAGUUGCAGUUAGCGGCCGUAGAGCAGAUCGCGUUAGUCACCUGUGAACGUUUGAAUCUGACGCACCGUUGUCGUCGCGAGUGCGGUUCCGCAGUCGGUUUUGUCGAAUUCAGUGUGUUGAUCCUGUCAAGAGCGCGUGGAUUUUAGACUUUUCGCUGCGCAAAAAAAAAAAGAAAAACGGGAUCAGUGCCAAUUAGUUUGGUGUUUUGCUUUACGUUGCGUUCCGGGUUUAACGAGAUCUGAACGCUUUAGACUGGUUAUCUAGUGGAUGCUCCCGAGUAUGUUUAAACUGUUGAGAUUUUCUGUUUUUUCGCAAUAGUUAUCUCCAAGUCGAAUUACGUUCAUCAGCAACGAGACUGGUGUUAAUUCUUAACACUUGAUGCACAGGGUGAAGUGGCUCAACGUUGGCGCUUGGGAGUUGCAUUGAAGAGAAAUGGUGUGCUUGAAAGCAAAAGAAGUGCCGUUAGAUUUUUGCGCCGUUGCAGAGCGUGAAUCAGGCGCACUGUAGGACGGUACGCGAGUGCUGUUUCUUUUAUUUUGUAAUAAAUUGUGCCGAACGUGUCAUUAGGAUGUACCGAAAAAUCGAAUGUGCGACUGAAAUAAUCGGUAACUCAACCUGGACCUGAUUUGACAGCGCAUUCCAAGUGUUGCCAAGUAUAGUGAUCGAACGAAUCAACAGGCAAUAAAAAUCAUCGUGAAACAGUUUGUGAAAUUGCCGGAUGAUAGUAAAAUAAUGCAAAUUAGUUUUAACGAUGCGGUUAUAUGGAUUUACUAAAUUAUGAAUUUAUGCUCCCGGAGACCCCUUUAGCUGGGACUUGACACACUUUGUGCUCCACAUUGUGUUCAGCAGUGGGCAAGAAGCAUGAUAGAUCCGUGUACGGGGUGAAAUAGAGUGCGACUAAAACAUACAUCGAAGAAACGGAAGAAAGCGUCAGUAUACGAAGCCCCGAGAGACGGUGGAGUUGAAACAUAUGAGUUGGGAGCAAAAAAAAACUUCAUCUAAAAACACAUGAUUAAAGCUUACAGUUAAUUGGAAAACAACGUGUGAGGUUCCCGAUUGAUGAUCAUACUUAAACUGAUGUGUGCAACAAGUGUAACAAGUGCAGCGAGAAAAUUACUGAACGUGAAUAAAGCCUGUCAAAAUCUGUACGCUGUACGGAUCUGGAAACCGAGGACCGGCAAUCGAAGGAAUUGAGAUUGGCACUUGAAUACUCAAACUAAAAUACACUAUAACACAGAUCCAAUCAAUCAAGUGCAAUUCCCGUGGAAUGGAUUUAAGCGCUACAGGAAAUGAGAAAAUUCACUCAAACGAAAGCUAGAAAAUCACUGACUGGAAAUUGCAAUCAAAAUGACAAUAAA